rnacentral:rRNA from 1 species
AGUCGAGUGAUGUUGCGCGGAAAAUUCAACGGGGCUAAGCAUACAACCGAAGCUUGGGCAGUAGUAAUACUGGGUAGGGGAGCGUUCUGUACGGGCAGAAGCAUCAGCGGAAGCAGGUGUGGACUGUACAGAAGUGAGAAUGCCGGAAUGAGUAGCGAGAAUUGUGUGAGAAUCAUAAUGGCCGAAAAUCUAAGGUUUCCGGGGGUAGGGUCGUCCACCCCGGGUUAGCCGGGAGCUAAGGCGAGGCCGCGAGGCGUAGUCGAUGCACAAACGGUAGAGAUUCCGUUGCCGCCAGAUCUUAAGUAACUGACACGAGGGUAGAGUUCAACCCGGCCGAUGGUAGAGCCGGGCGAAAGGGACUGAAGAAUAGUAGGGAAGUGAACGAAGCCAGCGGCGAGAAAAGGUUAUGUAUGAAAUCAGGCGCCCGUACCGCAAACCGACACAGGUAGAUGAGGAGAGGAUCCUAAGGCCAGCGGGAGAAGGGUUGUUAAGGAACUCGGCAUAUUGACCCCGUAACUUCGGAAGAAGGGGUGCCUCCGUAAGGAGGCCGCAGUGAAAAGGCCCAGGCAACUGUUUAUCAAAAACACAGGUUUCUGCAAAAGCGAAAGCUGAAGUAUAGGAGCUGACGCCUGCCCGGUGCUGGAAGGUCAAGGGGAUCGCUUAGCGCAAGCGAAGGCGAGAACUUAAGCCCCAGUAAACGGCGGCCGUAACUAUAACGGUCCUAAGGUAGCGAAAUUCCUUGCCAGGUAAGUUCUGGCCUGCACGAAUGGCGUAAUGAUCUGGGCACUGUCUCAACAGCCCGCCCGGCGAAAUUGUAGUACCGGUGAAGAUGCCGGUUUCCUGCGACUAGACGGAAAGACCCCAUGGAGCUUUACUGUAGUCUGAUACUGAAAUUUGGUUCAUUAUGCACAGGAUAGGUGGGAGACAGAGAAACCCGGGCUUUGGCUUGGGCGGAGUCGCCGUUGGGAUACCACUCUUGAUGAACCAAGUUUCUAACCUGCUCCCGUGAAUCCGGGAGGGGGACAAUGUCAGAUGGGCAGUUUGACUGGGGCGGUCGCCUCCAAAAGAGUAACGGAGGCGUUCAAAGGUUGGCUCAGCGCGGACGGAAAUCGCGCAAUGAGUAUAAACGUAUAAGCCAGCCUAACUGUGAGACCUACAAGUCGAGCAGUAACGAAAGUUGGAGUUAGUGAUCAGGUGGUAGUGAGUGGAAAUGCCAUCGCUUAACGGAUAAAAGCUACCCUGGGGAUAACAGGCUGAUCUCCCCCAAGAGUUCACAUCGACGGGGAGGUUUGGCACCUCGAUGUCGGCUCAUCACAUCCUGGAGCUGGAGAAGGUUCCAAGGGUUCGGCUGUCCGCCGAUUAAAGUGGUACGCGAGCUGGGUUCAGAACGUCGUGAGACAGUUCGGUCCCUAUCUGUCGUGGGCGUUGGAUAUUUGAGAAGGGCUGACCUUAGUACGAGAGGACCGGGUCGGACGCACCUCCUGUGCACCAGUUGUCCUGCCAAGGGCAUAGCUGGGUAGCGGCGUGCGGUUUUGAUAAACGCUGAAGGCAUCUAAGCGUGAAGCAUGCUUCAAGAUGAGAUAUCCCAUCAUUUCAAAUGAGUAAGGUCACUUGCAGACUACAAGUUGAUAGGUCGGGUGUGUAAGCACGGUAACGUGUUCAGCUAACCGAUACUAAUUGACCGAGGGCUUGAACCU